CACGUAGGGGGCAAGCGUUGUCCGGAUUUAUUGGGCGUAAAGAGCGUGUAGGCGGCUUGGUAGGUCCGCUGUGAAAACUCGAGGCUCAACCUCGAGAUGUCGGCGGAAACCACUUGGCUAGAGUCCGGAAGAGGCGAGUGGAAUUCCUGGUGUAGCGGUGGAAUGCGCAGAUAUCAGGAGGAACACCAACGGCGAAGGCAGCUCGCUGGGACGGUACUGACGCUGAGACGCGAAAGCGUGGGGAGCGAACAGG
rnacentral:rRNA from 1 species